GUAGGUGGCAAGCGUUGUCCGGAAUUAUUGGGCGUAAAGCGCGCGCAGGUGGUUCUUUAAGUCUGAUGUGAAAGCCCCCGGCUCAACCGGGGAGGGUCAUUGGAAACUGGGGAACUUGAGUGCAGGAGAGGAAAGUGGAAUUCCACGUGUAGCGGUGAAAUGCGUAGAUAUGUGGAGGAACACCAGUGGCGAAGGCGACUUUCUGGCCUGUAACUGACACUGAGGCGCGAAAGCGUGGGGAGCAAACAGGGAUUAGAUACCCUGGUAGUCCACGCCGUAAACGAUGAGUGCUAAGUGUUGGGGGGGUUUCCCGCCCCGUCAGUGCCUGCAGCUAACGCAUUAAGCACUCCGCCCUGGGGAGUACGGUCGCAAGACUG
rnacentral:rRNA from 1 species